rnacentral:rRNA from 1 species
GACGAACGCUGGCGGCGCGCCUAACACAUGCAAGUCGAACGAGCGAGAGAGAGCUUGCUUUUUAAGCUUAGUGGCGAACGGGUGAGUAACGCGUGAGUAACCUGCCCUGGAGUGGGGGACAACAGUUGGAAACGACUGCUAAUACCGCAUAAGCCCACGGCACCGCAUGGUACUGAGGGAAAAGGAUUUAUUCGCUUUAGGAUGGACUCGCGUCCAAUUAGCUAGUUGGUGAGGUAACGGCCCACCAAGGCGACGAUUGGUAGCCGGACUGAGAGGUUGAACGGCCACAUUGGGACUGAGACACGGCCCAGACUCCUACGGGAGGCAGCAGUGGGGGAUAUUGCACAAUGGGGGAAACCCUGAUGCAGCGACGCCGCGUGGAGGAAGAAGGUUUUCGGAUUGUAAACUCCUGUCGUUAGGGACGAUAAUGACGGUACCUAACAAGAAAGCACCGGCUAACUACGUGCCAGCAGCCGCGGUAAAACGUAGGGUGCAAGCGUUGUCCGGAAUUACUGGGUGUAAAGGGAGCGCAGGCGGGAAGACAAGUUGGAAGUGAAAACCAUGGGCUCAACCCAUGAAUUGCUUUCAAAACUGUUUUUCUUGAGUAGUGCAGAGGUAGAUGGAAUUCCCGGUGUAGCGGUGGAAUGCGUAGAUAUCGGGAGGAACACCAGUGGCGAAGGCGGUCUACUGGGCACCAACUGACGCUGAGGCUCGAAAGCAUGGGUAGCAAACAGGAUUAGAUACCCUGGUAGUCCAUGCCGUAAACGAUGAUUACUAGGUGUUGGGGGAUUGACCCCCUCAGUGCCGCAGUUAACACAAUAAGUAAUCCACCUGGGGAGUACGACCGCAAGGUUGAAACUCAAAGGAAUUGACGGGGGCCCGCACAAGCAGUGGAGUAUGUGGUUUAAUUCGAAGCAACGCGAAGAACCUUACCAGGUCUUGACAUCCGAUGCAUAGCACAGAGAUGUGUGAAAUCCUUCGGGACAUCGAGACAGGUGGUGUAUGGUUGUCGUCAGCUCGUGUCGUGAGAUGUUGGGUUAAGUCCCGCAACGAGCGCAACCCUUAUUGCCAGUUACUACGAAAGAGGACUCUGGCGAGACUGCCGUUGACAAAACGGAGGAAGGUGGGGAUGACGUCAAAUCAUCAUGCCCUUUACGACCUGGGCUACACACGUACUACAAUGGCGUAACAGAGGGAAGCGACAUCGCGAGGUGAAGCAAAUCUCUAAAAAACGUCCCAGUUCAGAUUGUAGGCUGCAACUCGCCUGCAUGAAGACGGAAUUGCUAGUAAUCGCAGAUCAGCAUGCUGCGGUGAAUACGUUCCCGGGCCU